AGAGAAGCAGGAAAUGUUUUGUUUUGGAUGCCGCUGCAGUAACGUGUAAUAAAACACAAGUUUAUUCAACGCACCUCAUCUGUUCAUCACCUAGAAUAGAACAGCAGUACUCUCUCUCUGGAUUGAUGUCAUCCUACAGUCUCUCCUCGAGCAAGGCAUGGACUCUGUGGUCUGUGUGUUCUGGUAUCUGCUGAGUCACCAGAAAUCUGCCAAGAUGCUUCCUUACGCCUGUUCCAACAUCUGGCACACAAGGGCUUUAAGGUUUCCAGGACCAAGCUGCAAUAUUGCAUGGACACUUAAGUAUUUGAACUUUUGAAGUCUUGAAUUUUCUCAAGGCUGUCAUCUGAUCGGGUGCAGGUGCUUCUAGACACAAAACGCCCUGCAACUAAACAUGCACUGAUGUCUUUUCUGGAUCUUAUCAAUUACUGCAGAUAAUGGAUCUCUGACUGCUCUUUAUAUGACAAGAUUCUCCGUUCUGCAAUCUCUCGUCACAAUCCACUGCAACAUCCUUUGACCUGGACUGAUGCUAUGAUGGACGCUUACCACUCCCUCAAAAGCGCCCUUUGUUCUGCCCCUGGGGUUACCUGAUUGAAGCCAAGCCCUUCCACCUCUAUGCCUAUGAACACCGAGGCACAGCCUCUGCGGACCGGGAGCAUGUGUCCUUGUGCGGGUUUUUAUCUAAAACAUUAGACAAUGUUGCUCAGGGCUUACUUGCGUGUCUAAGGGCUGUCUCCACAUGUGCUUUGAUGGUUUUAGAUGCGAAAAGAAAUUGAUUUUGUCUCACCCACUGAUCUUUCACUCGUCACAUCAAGUUAAACAGGUGUUGCAAAAUUUACAGACCCAACAUAUGACUGUUCAUUCUCUGUUCUACUAACAAUUUCGAAAUUCGUGCCACAUCCUCUUUUGAUACUGUAGGUCACGCUCUCGCACGCCUCCUUAAUUCUCGGGAUGACACUGAUUAUCUGUCUGAAAUUGUACAUACUACCAGUAUCAGGUCUGAUCUCUCCUCCAGCCCUCUAGGGAUGGGGGGGGGGGGGGGGGGAGUACUCUUUGUUGAUGGUUUUUGUUCUAAACCCUCAGACAGUGUAUAAUAUUUAUAAUUUAUCAUAUUUAUAAUACCUCUGUGGUUACUCUGUGUGUUCACUGCCUGAUAUUGUGCAUGAGCCAUACGCUCUUCCUUUCUCAUUUGAUUUUUGUCAUCUUGAUUGUGGACAAAUUCUCUAAAUGGGUAGAAGUUUUUUCCUGUUCUCGAGAGAACAUGAAGGUAGUUACUCGUAUUCUGGCAAAAGAAAUAAUACCAAGUUAUAAUAAUACAACCCCGAUUCCAAAAAAGUUGGGACAAAGUACAAAUUGUAAAUAAAAACGGAAUGCAAUAAUUUACAAAUCUCAAAAACUGAUAUUGUAUUCACAAUAGAACAUAGACAACAUAUCAAAUGUCGAAAGUGAGACAUUUUGAAAUUUCAUGCCAAAUAUUGGCUCAUUUGAAAUUUCAUGACAGCAACACAUCUCAAAAAAGUUGGGACAGGGGCAAUAAGAGGCUGGAAAAGUUAAAGGUACAAAAAAGGAACAGCUGGAGGACCAAAUUGCAACUCAGGUCAAUUGGCAAUAGGUCAUUAACAUGACUGGGUAUAAAAAGAGCAUCUUGGAGUGGCAGCGGCUCUCAGAAGUAAAGAUGGGAAGAGGAUCACCAAUCCCCCUAAUUCUGCGCCGACAAAUAGUGGAGCAAUAUCAGAAAGGAGUUCGACAGUGUAAAAUUGCAAAGAGUUUGAACAUAUCAUCAUCUACAGUGCAUAUCAUCAUCAAAAGAUUCAGAGAAUCUGGAAGAAUCUCUGUGCGUAAGGGUCAAGGCCGGAAAACCAUACUGGGUGCCCGUGAUCUUCGGGCCCUUAGACGGCACUGUAUCACAUACAGGCAUGCUUCUGUAUUGGAAAUCACAAAAUGGCCUCAGGAAUAUUUCCAGAGAACAUUAUCUGUGAACACAAUUCACCGUGCCAUCCGCCGUUGCCAGCUAAAACUCUCUAUAGUUCAAAGAAGAAGCCGUAUCUUAAACAUGAUCCAGAAGCGCAGACGUCUUCUCUGGGCCAAGGCUCAUUUAAAAUGGACUGUGGUCAGACGAAUCAAAAUUUGAAGUUCUUUAUGGAAAUCAGGGACGCCGUGUCAUUCGGACUAAAGAGGAGAAGGACGACCCAAGUUGUCAUCAGCGCUCAGUUCAGAAGCCUGCAUCUCUGAUGGUAUGGGGUUGCAUUAGUGCGUGUGGCAUGGGCAGCUUACACAUCUGGAACGACACCAUCAAUGCUGAAAGGCAUAUCCAGGUUCUAGAGCAACAUAUGCUCCCAUCCAGACAACGUCUCUUUCAGGGAAGACCUUGCAUUUUCCAACAUGACAAUGCCAAACCACAUACUGCAUCAAUUACAGCAUCAUGGCUGCGUAGAAGAAGGGUUCGGGUACUGAACUGGCCAGCCUGCAGUCCAGAUCUUUCACCCAUAGAAAACAUCUGGCGCGUCAUAAAAUGGAAGAUAUGACAAAAAAGACCUAAGACAGUCGAGCAACUAGAAUCCUACAUUAGACAAGAAUGGGUUAACAUUCCUAUCCCUAAACUUGAGCAACUUGUCUCCUCAGUCCCCAGACGUUUACAGACUGUUGUAAAGAGAAAAGGGGAUGUCUCACAGUGGUAAACAUGGCCUUGUCCCAACUUUUUUGAGAUGUGGUGUCAUGAAAUUUAAAAUCACCUAAUUUUUCUCUUUAAAUGAUACAUUUUCUCAGUUUAAACAUUUGAUAUGUCAUCUAUGUUCUAUUCUGAAUAAAAUAUUGAAUUUUAUAACUUCCACAUCAUUGCAUUCCGUUUUUAUUUACAAUUUGUACUUUGUCCCAACUUUUUUGGAAUCGGGGUUGUAAUAAUAAUAAUAAUACAUUUUAUUUAUAAGCGUCUUUCAAGGUACCCAAGGACACUGAACAGUAAAAAAAAAACACAAACAAUAAAAGCAGAACAAUAAAAUAAUAAGAAAUCAAUAAUUGUUAUAGUUAUGGGGUUCUAGAUGCCAUUGACUCAAAGGUACCCCUUUUACCUCGAAAGUCACACAAAACCUUUGUAAGUAUCUCUCACUAAACUGGUGUUUUCACAUUCCGUACCACCCUCAAUCCUCUGGUAUCGUAGAACGUACUAAUCGAACAUUGAAAGACAAAUUAAUUAAGGCCAUGUAGGCCACAGGUUCGAAAAAAAUUGGCUCUGUAAUCCGUAAUUCACUCUGGCUGAAAUUUGUAUGAAAAGCCUAGCCUAGGGGAUACUCCCCCUAUGAAAUUAUUUUUGGAAGACCUUUCCCUCUCCCCUGGAAGAAGGGAACUCCGUCUCUGGGUACCUCUGAUUUGAAAACACAUAUGGAUGAAUAUUCUGCAGCCCUUAUAGAUAAGUUGCAUAAAAUUUGUACCAAGGUCAAUAGUACAAUAUCGUCUCCACCAGCAGCACCCACACACCCCUUUCACGUGGGAGACAAGGUGCUGGUGUGACUCUUUAAACGAUUUGGACAAUUGGGAGAACCUAUAUAUAGUGGGCCUGCAGACAUAGUCACCAUUACUUUUACUGCUGUUUUAACUGAUCUUUUUCCACAGUGGAUCCAUGCCACACGAUUGAAGAAGGCUCCAUAACAAAGUUGUGUUACAAUGACAAGUUUGCUACUAACGUUUUCUCUGUGUCCCUAUCCAGUCUCUGUUCUGUCUCUCUAUCUCUGAGCUCUACACAGAUUCAACGUGACCUGUGUGCAGCCCUGGCUGACUGAGAAUCCUCAGAUUACCUGCAAGACGUUGUGAACAAAGAGGGGAUCUCGCGCCCUGUCUGGGACCAAUCACCCUCACUACAACCAUGGGAGUCCUCAUCACGAGCUUCGUGACCACUCUACUGCUGCUCGGAGCAGGGUUACCCGCUUGAGCUGGACCUCGAGACAACAUCUUUUGGCAAUUCGCUAACUGGACUGCACGAACGCACAUGAAUGAAAGUUAUGUCUGUCAUCUGAUGCCGUUUUCUACUAUUAUUACACGUCUCUAUGCUCUGAAGCUUUGUAUUCUUACAGGACACUGUUCUCACUAUAGGUCAAUAUGCUAUAAUUUCAUUUUCCCUCACUGUUUUAGAAUAAAUUACUCUGAAGGAAGUAGCAUGUAUUUGGGACAAAUUAAGAGGUUUCGAGUUUCUCUAAGCUCCGGUGAGGUGGGAUGAGGGCUGAUUAGGGCAUGCCCGCCCUCUGAGCACCAAUACAUAUCAAGAAGAGCAAGGAUUAACUCAAGCAUACAUCUAAUCCUAAUUCUCGAUGUAAUCACACAUAAUGAUCAGAAUACUGGGGUGUGAUACUAUUAUCAAAGAGGGGAUUGUUAGGAUUUAUUCCUUUGUAAGGAUAAAUAAUUGUAAGGAUUUAUUCUUAUUAUUGUUAAGUAUUUAUUCAUAAUACUCUAUCCUAUUUUACUAUUUCAGCUAGAAGGCAUUGAAUUCUUCUGUGACCUUCUGUCUAGAACAUCUUGCUUGAGACAUAAUAUUGAUAUCUUUUUGAAUGUUCUGCCCUUUGCUAUCUCUGACCUAAGGUUGUGCGUAAGAAAUGGCCUUUGAUAUCUGUAUCAUAUCAUAAGAACAUCUUAUUAUUGUAUACCAUCGUCAAGGUUUCACUACAGUCUCUGAACCAUGUCACAUGUCACUCUGAAGCAAUGAUGUCAUAUAUACACACACACACAGCACCAAGGUCUUCAGUGAUGUCACUUCAUCCACACAGAUAACACCCACAUAUAAAAUCCCCUGAAUUCUCCUGUCUCAUGGGGGACUUGUGAAUAAACAUUGCGAACUACUUUGUGGGGUUCCUGUCUUUCUUCCGCGACUCACCCCCAGACAUCUGGGUGACAUGGGGGGACUGAUCUCGAGAUGGGGUAAUCGCUCUCUGGAGACUGAGGGCAAGAGGUGAAGAAACCUUUCAGUCGGCCUCGAAGAAAUUCUGGCAAACCGUCCGGCGCCUCAGGAGGGGGAAGCAGUACUCUGCCAACACUGUUUACAGUGCGGGUGGGGAGCUGUUGACCUCGACUGGGGAUAUUGUCGGGUGGUGGAAGGAAUACUUUGAGGAUCUCCUCAAUCCCACCAUCACAUCUUCCAUUGAGGAAGUGGAGGCUGAUGACUCAGAGGUGGACUCAUCCAUUACCCAAGCCGAAGUCACUGAGGUGGUUUGCAAGCUCCUCGGUGGCAAGGCACCGGGGGUGGAUGAGAUCCACCCUGAGCAUCUCAAGUCUCUGGAUGUUGUGGGGCUGUCUUGGCUGACACGCCUCUGCAACAUUGCGUGGCGGUUGGGGACAGUGCCUCUGGAGUGGCAGACCGGGGUGGUGGUCCCUCUUUUUAAGAAAGGGGACCGGAGAGUGUGCUCCAAUUAUCGGGGAAUCGCACUCUCAGCCUUCCCAGAAAGGUUUACUCCAGGGUACUGGAGAGGAGAAUUCAGCUGAUAGUCAAACCUCGGAUCAAGGAGGAACAAUGCGGUUUUCAUCCUGGUCAUGGAACACUGGACCAACUCUAUACCCUUCAUAGGGUGAUCGAGGGUUCAUGGGAGUUUGCCCAACCAGUCCACAUGUGCUUUGUGGAUCUGGAGAAGGCAUUCGACCGUGUCCCUCAUGGUAUUCUGUGGGGGGUGCUUCGGGAAUAUGGAGUUCGGGGCUCUUUGUUAAGGGCUGUCCAGUCCCUGUACGAAUGGAGCAGGAGUCUGGUUCGUAUUGCCGGCAGUAAGUCAGACCUGUUCCCAGUGCAUGUUGGACUCCGGCAGGGCUGCCCUUUGUCACCGGUUCUGUUCAUAAUUUUUAUGGACAGAAUUUCUAGGUGCAGCCAGGGGCCAGAGGGAGUCCUGUUUGGGAACCACAGGAUUUCAUCUCUGCUUUUUGCGGAUGAUGUUGUCCUGUUGGCUUCUUCAAACCAGGACCUUCAGCAUGCACUGGGGCAGUUUGCAGUUGAGUGUGAAGCAGCUGGGAUGAGAAUCAGCACCUUCAAGUCUGAGGCCAUGGUUCUCGACCGGAAAAAGGUGGCUUGCCCUCUCCAGGUUGGUGAAGUCCUGCCUCAAGUGGAGGAGUUUAAGUAUCUCGGGAUCUUGUUCACGAGUGAGGGAAGGAUGAAGCGUGAGAUCGACAGGCGGAUCGGUGCAGCCUCCACAGUGAUGUGGUCGCUUUACCGGUCUGUCAUGGUGAAGAAAGAGCUGAGCCAAAAGGCAAAGCUCUUGAUUUACCAGUCGAUCUAUGUUCCGACUCUCACCUAUGGUCAUGAGCUUUGGGUAAUGACCGAAAAAACAAAAUCGCGGAUACAAGCGGCCGAAAUGAGUUUCCUUCGCAGGGUGGCUGGGUGCUCCCUUAGAUAGGGUGAGAAGCACAAUCACUCGGGAGGAGCUCGGAGUAGAGCCACUGCUCCUCUACAUCGAGAGGAAUCAGGUGAGGUGGCUUGGGCAUCUCUUUCGGAUGCCUCCUGGACACCUCCCUGGGGAGGUGUUCCAGGCAUGUCCCCCUGGGAGGAGGCCCCGGGGAAGACCCAGGACACGCUGGAGGGACUAUGUCUCUCAGCUGGCCUGGGAAUGCCUCGGUGUUCUUCCCGAGGAGCUGGCCGAGGUGUCUGGGGAGAGGGAAGUUUGGGCUUCCAUGCUCAGACUGCUGCCUCCGCGACCCGGUCCCGGAUAAGCGGAUAAAGAUGAGAUGAGUCUAGUCUCAGUACCCCACAGCAACCUCAUAAAUUUGGCCGACCAAAGCAACAUUGGAUUGGGAGUGGAGCGCGCGAGCCAAUGGAAAAGUCCAGGCUGCAGUUCUCACUAUUUGCUAGCAUUCCCUGCGCACAGACAGGUUAGUGGCAUCCAUUAAAUUAGCAAACUCAUUUUUCUGAUAUUUACCUAAAAGCUAAAAACACAGAAAACAGCUACAACUUCGUAAAUGAAGAUAAAAUAUAACAACUACAGACAAAAAGAUCUGAACUUCAGUAAAUGGAGGCGUGAAUUUUUCGACAAGCAUCCUGUCUGUCAGUGUUAGCUAACGGUACUUAUGUCAUCUGCUGCACUAAGGCAUCGUGUUUAGCAGAUAGUUACAACUUUGUACGACAUAAAUCUCAUCUCAUUAUCUCUAGCCACUUUAUCCUGUUCUACAGGGUCGCAGGCAAGCUGGAGCCUAUCCCAGCUGACUACGGGCGAAAGGCGGGGUACACCCUGGAUAAGUCGCCAGGUCAUCACAGGGCUGACACAUAGACAACCAUUCACACUUACAUUCACACCUACCGUCAAUUUAGAGUCACCAGUUAACCUAACCUGCAUGUCUUUGGACUGUGGGGGAAACUGGAGCACCCAGAGGAAACCCAUAGGGAGAACAUGCAAACUCCGCACAGAAAGGCCCUCGCCAGGCACGGGGCUCAAACCCGGACCUUCUUGCUGUGAGGCGACAGCGCUAACCACUACACCACCGUGCCGCCACGACAUAAAUCCUCAUAAAAUAUAAAGUAUGACGGACUGAUAGAAAACAGUGGCGCCAAUUUCUCGAGCUGAAGUCCAUUAAUGUUAACAUUAAACGUAUGAUGAUGCUGUGUGAUGUCACACAUUCUCGCAGCGCAUGCGCAUUCCAUGAUAAUUCAAAUGAAUUUUUUUUAAUUGAUGGGUGUAAUUCAUUCAUUCAUUAUCUCAAGCCGCUUUAUCCUUCUACAGGGUCGCAGGCAAGCUGGAGCCUAUCCCAGCUGACUACGGGCGAAAGGCGGGGUACACCCUGGACAAGUCGCCACGUCAUCACAGGGCUGACACAGACAACCAUUCACACUCACAUUCACACCUACGGUCAAUUUAGAGACACCAGUUAACCUAACCUGCAUGUCUUUGGACUGUGGGGGAAACCAGAGCACCCGGAGGAAACCCACGCGGACACGGGGAGAACAUGCAAACUCCACACAGAAAGGCCCUCGCCGGCCCCGGGGCUCGAACCCAGGACCUUCUUGCUGUGAGGCGACAGCACUAACCACUACACCACUGUGCCGCCCGGGUGUAAUUCAUUUUAGCUUAUUUUUUUGUUGUCUAAAUCAUUAUUGAUGAACUCUCAUAUUGAUGGUGUUUUUAGAAUAGAUGAAAAUGAAAGAUAGUAUUAUAUUAUUAUAAACACUGAAGCAGAGGGAGCUCAGCUCCUGCUGGCCGUACUACCAAGGCAAGGAGGCGGAGCUGAGUUCUGGAGGGUUCCAGCCCAAUUUAAUCUCUAGAUGUAGUAGUUUUUGUUGUGGGGUGUACUCGUUUUUGCACCAUCCUUGUCAUGCUCCGCCCCGGAUAUCCACUCCAGAGAUUACGGAUCUCUCACGCCAGCGCCGAUCUGGAGCAGGAAUUUCCUCUCACCCGUAUUCACUUCCUGGUUUUCACUGCUGUGUAUAAAUAAGCCUUUUUCAGACUCAGGCUACGUUUACAUUAGACCGUAUCUGUCUCGUUUUCUUCGCAGAUGCACUGUCCGUUUACAUUAAACCGCCUGGAAACGCCGGGAAACGGGAAUCCGCCAGCGUCCACGUAUUCAAUCCAGAUCGUGUCAGCUCCGGUGCUGUGUAAACAUUCAGAAUACGCGGAUACGCUGUGCUGAGCUCUAGCUGGCGUCUCAUUGGACAACGUCACUGUGACAUCCACCUUCCUGAUUUGCUGGCGUUGGUCAUGUGACGCGACUGGUGAAAAACGACGCGGACUUCCGCCUUGUAUCACCUUUCAUUAAAGAGUAUAAAAGUAUGAAAAUACUGCAAAUACUGAUGCAAAUACUGCCCAUUGUGUAGUUAUGAUUGUCUUUAGGCUUGCCAUCCUUCCACUUGCAAGUGGUAAGUGAUGUGCGCUGGGAUCACACACACAGCGGCUCAGUCCCGAAUCACAGCUUGUUCACUUCACUCGCGUGCUCUGUGAGCUGCGCAGGGCCGGAGUGCGCACCCUCCAGAGGGCACUCGCUGUUCAGGGCGGAGUGAUUUGGAGCGCAGGAUGCCUGCGGAGCCGAGCGUAUCCGUGUAUUGGUAUUGCUGUGUGCACGCAAAUCAUGUAUUGGUGUUGCUGUGUGCACACUAAUCGUUUUAGAAACGUUAAUCUGAUGAUCCGCUGAUACGGUCUAAUGUAAACAUGGGCUCAGACUUUGCCAGAACGUCUCGUUAUGAUGACACGACACAGAUAUAUACAGAUGCUUCUAAAGACGAAACUGGUAAGACAGGAGCAGCAGUAUUCAUCCCCAGCUACAAUAUAAGUAUUGGGAAAAGGACGUCAGAUCACUUGUCAAUUUUUUCAGCAGAAAUGAUGGCUAUUAUACUGGCCCUGCAGUGGGUGGAGGAGGUGAAGCCUAGUAAAGCAGUUAUUUGCUCAGAUUCUAUGUCUUCCUUAAAUAGUAUCCAGAGUGGAAAAUCUACAUUCCGACAAGAUCUCUUAGAUGAAAUUAACCAUCUCGUAUUUAAGAUAAAUCAACAUAAAACUUUUAUUCGGUUCACAUGGGUUCCAGCUCAUAAGGGGGUUGAGGGUAAUGAGAAAGUGGAUAAAAUGGCCAAAGAGGCCAUCAAGGCAAAUGAGGUUGAGUUAGAAGUCCCAUUAAGCAAGGCAGAAAUUAAAGUAAUAAUUAAAGACAACAUCAACAAAAUGUGGCAGGAGAGAUGGAAUACAGAGGAGAAAGGAAGGCAUCUAUAUAAUUUACAAAAGGAGGUGGUGUUUAGAAGAGGUGGUGAACUGAAACGACAGGAGGAGGUUUGGUUGACGAGGCUGAGGAUAGGACACACAAGUCUAAAUAGUGGGUUGUAUACAAUAGGGAAACAUCAUUCUGGGGCCUGUGCACACUGUGGAGAAGUAGAAAAGGUUGAGCAUGUUCUUAUACACUGUACACAGUAUUCCAGUGAAAGAGAGAAGAUGGGGAGAACAUUAAGAAAAUCUGUAACUAUAGACAACUUAUUAAGUCAGCCAUUCACACAAUCAGCAGUAAUAGCUCUAACACAGUAUUUAAAGGACACUCAAAUAGCAAAUAGAAUUUAGGUUUUUUUUUAACCCUUAGAUGGAUAAGUGGGGUCCAAACGGACCCCAGUGGUAGUUUUGUUGCAAAAUCUUUGUCAUUUUACAUUUAUAUUGUCUAACCUUCCAUGUGUUCCUCAAAUAGGGUGUUUUUGAUAUGGUCUCAUUUGGAUUUGUAUGUAUAGUUUUUUUUUCUUUUAAGUUAUUUUAUAUUUUGUAUCAAUACCCAACUUUUCCAUAAGUGGGGUCAAAACUGACCCCAAGCAUUUUAUAUGGAGUUUCGGUUGAUAUCCCUAAGAACUUUUUAUUUUUGUCACCUCUGGUUGUCAGGAAUACAUUUGUUGCCGAUCAACACAUCUACUGCUUACAUUCUCACCACCCUGAAGAGCAUUUUUACUCAGCAACACACAUCUUACUGUGCUAACAGUAAAGUACGGCUUCCAAACUGCAACCUCAAUGAUGAGAAAACCUUGAAGAAAAAGGGAAGAGGGACAUUUGAUGUCAGAGUGGAGAAGAACCACAACAUUUGUGCUGUGACAUGGUACGACACCCAUCAGGUGACACUUGUGUCAUCCUUUACUGGCCCAGAACCAGUGGAAAAGGUUAAAAGUUGGGACAAAACUGCCAAAACAUUUGUGGAAGUUCAGAGGCCUAACAUCGUGGCGACCUACAACAAAAACAUGGGGGGAGUGGAUUUGCUGGACUCAUUUGCAGCCAAGUACAAGUUUCCUCUCAAGUCCCAUCGUUGGUACAUCUACAUCUUCUGGCACACAAUUAUUCUAGCUGUGAUCAACGCUUGGCUCCUGUACAAACGGGACUGCAAGGCCUGGGCUAUUCCAAAGAAAGAGAUCCUGAUCAGGAGACGGUUUCAGGCCCAGUUGGCAUCCUCCCUUAUCCUGACUGGCACAUCUGUCCCAGUGCCAAAGCGAGGGCGGCCAUCCUCAAGCCCUAUGAGUUCUCCAGCUGCUAGGCCCUCUAAGAGGAGAAAUGCACACCCACCAAGUGAUGUCUGCAAAGACAUGACUGGGCAUUUCCCCAUCAAAGCUGACAGGGGAAGGUGCAGACAGUGUGUUAAAGGCUACACUAACACUGUUUGUAUGAAGUGUGAUGUCCGCCUUUGUUUUUCAGAACAAAGAAACUGCUUUUUGGACUACCAUAGGUAAAGAAGGGAGAUGUAAAAAUGCAUCUUAAGUUUGUUUUCAGAUUUGUACAUACAGCAUUCAUCCAGUGUUUUUAAAGAGUGGAAAUUACUUUUUUUGAAUAAAUUACUUGUCAUAAAACAAUAUAA